UACGAAGGGGGCUAGCGUUGCUCGGAAUCACUGGGCGUAAAGCGCACGUAGGCGGCUUUCUAAGUCAGAGGUGAAAUCCUGGAGCUCAACUCCAGAACUGCCUUUGAUACUGGAGAGCUUGAGUUCGGGAGAGGUGAGUGGAACUGCGAGUGUAGAGGUGAAAUUCGUAGAUAUUCGCAAGAACACCAGUGGCGAAGGCGGCUCACUGGCCCGAUACUGACGCUGAGGUGCGAAAGCGUGGGGAG
rnacentral:rRNA from 1 species